rnacentral:rRNA from 1 species
AUUGAACGCUGGCGGAAUGCUUACACAUGCAAGUCGAACGGCAGCACGGACUUCGGUCUGGUGGCGAGUGGCGAACGGGUGAGUAAUGUAUCGGAACGUGCCCAGUCGUGGGGGAUAACGUAGUGAAAAUUACGUUAAUACCGCAUACGAUCUAUGGAUGAAAGCGGGGGAUCGUAAGACCACGCGCGAUUGGAGCGGCCGAUAUUAGAUGAGGUAGGUGGUGGGGUAAAGGCCCACCAAGGCAACGAUCUGGAGCUGGUCUGAGAGGACGAUCAGCCACACUGGAACUGAGACACGGUCCAGACUCCUACGGGAGGCAGCAGUGGGGAAUUUUGGACAAUGGGCGAAAGCCUGAUCCAGCCAUUCCGCGUGCAGGAUGAAGGCCCUCGGGUUGUAAACUGCUUUUGUACAGAACGAAAAGGUUUCUACUAAUACUAGGAGCUCAUGACGGUACUGUAAGAAUAAGCACCGGCUAACUACGUGCCAGCCGCCGCAGUAA